rnacentral:rRNA from 1 species
GGUCAAGCGAACAAGUGCAUGUGGUGGAUGCCUUGGCGAUCACAGGCGAUGAAGGACGCGGUAGCCUGCGAAAAGCCCCGGGGAGCUGGCAAACAAGCUUUGAUCCGGGGAUGUCCGAAUGGGGAAACCCACUCCUUUUGGAGUAUCCAUGACUGAAUACAUAGGUCAUGUGAAGCGAACGCGGUGAACUGAAACAUCUAAGUAACCGCAGGAAAAGAAAUCAACCGAGAUUCCCAAAGUAGUGGCGAGCGAAAUGGGAUGAGCCUUGUACUCUUUAUUUGUAUUGUUAGCCGAACGCUCUGGAAAGUGCGGCCAUAGCAGGUGAUAGCCCUGUAGGCGAAAACAGUAUGAAAGAACUAGGUGUACGACAAGUAGGGCGGGACACGUGAAAUCCUGUCUGAAGAUGGGGGGACCAUCCUCCAAGGCUAAAUACUCGUGAUCGACCGAUAGUGAACCAGUACCGUGAGGGAAAGGCGAAAAGAACCCCGGGAGGGGAGUGAAAUAGAUCCUGAAACCGCAUGCAUACAAACAGUCGGAGCCUCGUAAGGGGUGACGGCGUACCUUUUGUAUAAUGGGUCAGCGACUUACGUUCAGUAGCAAGCUUAACCGUAUAGGGCAGGCGUAGCGAAAGCGAGUCCGAAUAGGGCGUUCAGUUGCUGGGCGUAGACCCGAAACCAGGUGAUCUAUCCAUGGCCAGGAUGAAGGUGCGGUAACACGUACUGGAGGUCCGAACCCACUAACGUUGAAAAGUUAGGGGAUGAGCUGUGGAUAGGGGUGAAAGGCUAAACAAACCUGGAAAUAGCUGGUUCUCUCCGAAAACUAUUUAGGUAGUGCCUCGUGUCUCACCUUCGGGGGUAGAGCACUGUCAUGGUUGGGGGGUCUAUUGCAGAUUACCCCGCCAUAGCAAACUCCGAAUACCGAAGAGUGCAAUCACGGGAGACAGACAUCGGGUGCUAACGUCCGGUGUCAAGAGGGAAACAACCCAGACCGCCAGCUAAGGUCCCCAAAUAUGGCUAAGUGGGAAACGAAGUGGGAAGGCUAAAACAGUCAGGAGGUUGGCUUAGAAGCAGCCACCCUUUAAAGAAAGCGUAAUAGCUCACUGAUCGAGUCGUCCUGCGCGGAAGAUGUAACGGGGCUAAGCCAUAUACCGAAGCUGCGGAUGCGUGCUUGCACGCAUGGUAGGAGAGCGUUCCGUAAGCCUGCGAAGGUGCCUUGUAAAGGGUGCUGGAGGUAUCGGAAGUGCGAAUGCUGACAUGAGUAGCGAUAAAGGGGGUGAAAGGCCCCCUCGCCGUAAGCCCAAGGUUUCCUACGCAACGUUCAUCGGCGUAGGGUGAGUCGGCCCCUAAGGCGAGGCAGAAAUGCGUAGCUGAUGGGAAGCAGGUCAAUAUUCCUGCACCAUUGUUAGAUGCGAUGGGGGGACGGAUCGCGGAAGGUUGUCCGGGUGUUGGACGUCCCGGUCGCUGCAUUGGAGAAGGCGCUUAGGCAAAUCCGGGCGCGGAAUUCAAGGGUGUGGCGCGAGCGACUUCGGUCGCGAAGCAAUUGGAAGUGGUUCCAAGAAAAGCCUCUAAGCUUCAGUCUAACGAUGACCGUACCGCAAACCGACACAGGUGGGCGAGAUGAGUAUUCUAAGGCGCUUGAGAGAACUCGGGAGAAGGAACUCGGCAAAUUGGUACCGUAACUUCGGGAUAAGGUACGCCCUUGUAGCUUGACUGGCCUGCGCCAGGAGGGUGAAGGGGUUGCAAUAAACUGGUGGCUGCGACUGUUUAAUAAAAACACAGCACUCUGCAAACACGAAAGUGGACGUAUAGGGUGUGACGCCUGCCCGGUGCCGGAAGAUUAAAUGAUGGGGUGCAAGCUCUUGAUUGAAGUCCCGGUAAACGGCGGCCGUAACUAUAACGGUCCUAAGGUAGCGAAAUUCCUUGUCGGGUAAGUUCCGACCUGCACGAAUGGCGUAACGAUGGCCACACUGUCUCCUCCCGAGACUCAGCGAAGUUGAAGUGUUUGUGAUGAUGCAAUCUACCCGCGGCUAGACGGAAAGACCCCAUGAACCUUUACUGUAGCUUUGCAUUGGACUUUGAACCGAUCUGUGUAGGAUAGGUGGGAGGCUAUGAAACCGGAACGCUAGUUUCGGUGGAGCCGUCCUUGAAAUACCACCCUGGUUUGUUUGAGGUUCUAACCUUGGUCCGUGAUCCGGAUCGGGGACAGUGCAUGGUAGGCAGUUUGACUGGGGCGGUCUCCUCCCAAAGGGUAACGGAGGAGUACGAAGGUACGCUAGGUACGGUCGGAAAUCGUGCUGAUAGUGCAAUGGCAUAAGCGUGCUUAACUGCGAGACCGACAAGUCGAGCAGGUGCGAAAGCAGGUCAUAGUGAUCCGGUGGUUCUGUAUGGAAGGGCCAUCGCUCAACGGAUAAAAGGUACUCUGGGGAUAACAGGCUGAUACCGCCCAAGAGUUCAUAUCGACGGCGGUGUUUGGCACCUCGAUGUCGGCUCAUCUCAUCCUGGGGCUGUAGCCGGUCCCAAGGGUAUGGCUGUUCGCCAUUUAAAGAGGUACGUGAGCUGGGUUUAAAACGUCGUGAGACAGUUUGGUCCCUAUCUGCCGUGGGCGUUGGAUAUUUGAAGGGGGCUGCUCCUAGUACGAGAGGACCGGAGUGGACGAACCUCUGGUGUACCGGUUGUGACGCCAGUCGCAUCGCCGGGUAGCUAUGUUCGGAAGAGAUAACCGCUGAAAGCAUCUAAGCGGGAAACUCGCCUUAAGAUGAGAUAUCCCUGGAGGCUUGACCUCCUUGAAGGGUCGUUCGAGACCAGGACGUUGAUAGGUCGGGUGUGUAAGCGCAGUAAUGCGUUCAGCUAACCGAUACUAAUUGCCCGUAAGGCUUGAUCCU